AGGUCUUGACAUCCCCAUGCCCUCCCUAGAGAUAGGGAUUUCCCUUCGGGGACAUGGGUGACAGGUGGUGCAUGGUUGUCGUCAGCUCGUGUCGUGAGAUGUUGGGUUAAGUCCCGCAACGAGCGCAACCCUUGAUCUUAGUUGCCAGCAUUCAGUUGGGCACUCUAAGGUGACUGCCGGUGAUAAACCGGAGGAAGGUGGGGAUGACGUUCGUCUGAC
rnacentral:misc_RNA from 1 species